rnacentral:rRNA from 1 species
UUCCGGUUGAUCCUGCCGGACCUUACUGCUAUCGGGGUGGGACUAAGACAUGCGAGUCGAGCGUUUCUAGCUAUGUUGAGACGCGGCAUACGGCUCAGUAACACGUGGCUAACCUACCCUCAGGACGGGGACAAACCCGGGAAACUGGGGCUAAUAUCCGAUAGGCGAGGAAUCCUGGAAUGGUUCUUCACCCAAAGGACAUUGGAAACAUGCUUUCUCUGUCGCCUGGGGAUGGGGCCGCGACCGAUCAGGUUGUUGGUGAGGUAAUGGCUCACCAAGCCUUUAACCGGUCCGGGCCAUGAGAGUGGUAGCCCGGAGAUGGGUACUGAGACAAGGACCCAGGCCCUACGGGGCGCAGCAGUCGCGAAAACUCCGCAAUGCACGAAAGUGUGACGGGGCUACCCCGAGUGCCGUCCGCUGAGGAUGGCUUUUCCUUGGUGUAACUAGCCGGGGGAAUAAGGAGAGGGCAAGACUGGUGUCAGCCGCCGCGGUAAUACCAGCUCUCCGAGUGGUAGGGAUGAUUAUUGGGCUUAAAGCUUCCGUAGCCGGCUCAGUAAUUUUCCUGUUAAAUUCAUUGACCUAUUCGUUGAGCCGCGGGAAAUACUACUAGGCUAGGAGGCGGGAGAGGUCGACGGUACUUCUGGGGUAGGGGUGAAAUCCUAUAAUCCCGGGAGGACCACCAGUGGCGAAGGCUGUCGA